UACGGGGGGGGCAAGCGUUGUUCGGAAUUACUGGGCAUAAAGGGCUCGUAGGCGGCCAACUAAGUCAGACGUGAAAUCCCUCGGCUUAACCGGGGAACUGCAUCUGAUACUGGAUGGCUUGAGUUCGGGAGAGGGAUGCGGAAUUCCAGGUGUAGCGGUGAAAUGCGUAGAUAUCUGGAGGAACACCGGUGGCGAAGGCGGCAUCCUGGACCGACACUGACGCUGAGGAGCGAAAGCCAGGGGAGCAAACGGG
rnacentral:rRNA from 1 species